rnacentral:lncRNA from 1 species
UAGGUAUUCCAGAGAGGCAUGUGCUGAGAAGAAGCUGUGGGUUGGGUGGAGCAAGAACAGACUCCAGCUGGUUGCCUGCCACGUGGCCCUGCUCUAAACCCUGUCUAGAAGGAAGGGUAACUCCCAUUUGUAGGCCUCGCCUCGAUGUAACAUGGAGCUCACUGCCUUAUUGACGCUACCACAGAAGGGGAACCAGACAACCAUGGGGACACUGCUGCCUGUGUGCAUAUACAGAUGUGGCCACUUGAAAAAACCUGAGAAGCAAGCUAGGCAGCAAAAUUUGAGUGAAAGACCAGCUUUUCAAGGACUCUGCGAUGAAGAUGAAUCACAGAAUUACGGAGUGUUUCCAUUGUGCUCCAUUUGUCCCACCCAUGGAAGUAGCAACUCACUGAUCUGUUUGGAAAAAGGAACUGGGCAUUCCUAAGAUGGCUUGUCUCCAGGAAGCCUGCGAUCCCUACAUUAUGCCAAGGACUGCUGUGGUUGUCUCCUUCCCUGGUUCUGACACAAGAGCUGAGAAAAAAGGGGUGUGUACAUGCGAUUGCCAUCUUCUCCAGGCAUCCUGUUCCAAUGGAUACAAGACUCAGGAUGCAGGGAUAAAAAUCAGGCGACUGCUUCCAAUCCCACAACAAAUGUCACCCAUCUCUUCCAACAAAAAUCUUAACUCAAAAUGACACUUGCUUGUCAAAUCUGAAUUAGGCAUUUUCACUCUAACUGGAGUGAGUAUAUCAAUCCCCUGGGGGAAAACUGGAGCUCUGGAGAGGAUUCAGAUUCAGCAAACAGUUUUUGCUUGUCUGCUGUG